rnacentral:sRNA from 1 species
UGAUAUCAGGGUCAAAAGGUCAAAAAGUCGUUCGUGCUUGCACGAUAAGACUUUUGAACUUGGGACCCGCCAAACAUGAGAAAGUAGCGAUUUACGCAGUAAAUCAGCGUAUUUCGAAUGUUUGAGAAUUGCGGAAGCUGCUUUGCAGUGGAGCAAUUCGUGGAUAUCA